rnacentral:rRNA from 1 species
AGAUUGAACGCUGGCGGCAUGCCUUACACAUGCAAGUCGAACGGCAGCACGGGAGCAAUCCUGGUGGCGAGUGGCGAACGGGUGAGUAAUAUAUCGGAACGUGCCCAGUCGGUGGGGGAUAACGUAGAGAAAUUUACGCUAAUACCGCAUACGAGUCCAAGGAUGAAAGCGGGGGACCGUAAGGCCUCGCGCGGACUGGAGCGGCUGAUAUCAGAUUAGCUUGUUGGUGAGGUAAAGCUCACCAAGGCGACGAUCUGUAGCGUUGGUUUGAGAGAACACAGCCACACGUAGGACUGAGACGACGGCCCAGACUCCGUACGGGAGCACGCAGAGGAAUAGUUAGGAAC